rnacentral:rRNA from 1 species
CCUACGGGAGGCAGCAGUGGGGAAUAUUGGGCAAUGGGCGCAAGCCUGACCCAGCAAUGCCGCGUGAAGGAAGAAGGCCCUCGGGUUGUAAACUUCUUUUAUCAGGGACGAAGGAUGUGACGGUACCUGAUGAAUAAGCUCCGGCUAACUACGUGCCAGCAGCCGCGGUAAUACGUAGGAGGCAAGCGUUAUCCGGAAUGACUGGGCGUAAGGGGUGCGUAGGUGGUUUGACAAGUUGGUAGCGUAACUCCGAGGCUUAACCUCGGCACUACUACCAAAACUGUUGGACUCGAGUGCAGGAGGGGCAAAUGGAAUUCCUAGUGUAGCGGUGGAAUGCGUAGAUAUUAGGAGGAACACCAGUGGCGAAGGCGAUUUGCUGGACUGUAACUGACACUGAGGCACGAAAGCGUGGGGAGCAAACAGGAUUAGAUACCCGUGUAGUC